rnacentral:rRNA from 1 species
GAUGAACGCUGGCGGCGCGCCUAACACAUGCAAGUCGAACGGUUAAAGCACCUUUUAGGUGUGUAUAAAGUGGCGAACGGCUGAGUAACACGUGGGCAACCUGCCCUCCUCUUGGGGAUAGCCUCGGGAAACCGAGGAUAAUACCCGAUACUUCAAUGUGGCCGCAUGACGACAUUGAGAAAGCUUUUGCGGAGAAGGAUGGGCCCGCGGCCUGUUAGCUUGUUGGUGGGGUAGAGGCCUACCAAGGCAAUGAUGGGUAGCUGGGUUGAGAGACCGACCAGCCAGAUUGGGACUGAGACACGGCCCAGACUCCUACGGGAGGCAGCAGUGGGGAAUCUUGCACAAUGGGCGAAAGCCUGAUGCAGCGACGCCGCGUGCGGGACGAAGGCCUUCGGGUUGUAAACCGCUUUCAGCAGGGACGAGGCGAUAAGUGACGAUACCUGCAGAAGAAGCCCCGGCUAACUACGUG